rnacentral:rRNA from 1 species
UACGAAGGGUGCAAGCGUUACUCGGAAUUACUGGGCGUAAAGCGUGCGUAGGUGGUUCGUUAAGUCUGAUGUGAAAGCCCUGGGCUCAACCUGGGAAUUGCAUUGGAUACUGGCGGGCUAGAGUACGGUAGAGGGUGGCGGAAUUCCUGGUGUAGCAGUGAAAUGCGUAGAUAUCAGGAGGAACAUCCGUGGCGAAGGCGGCCACCUGGACCAGUACUGACACUGAGGCACGAAAGCGUGGGGAGCAAACAGA